GACGAACGCUGGCGGCGUGCUUAACACAUGCAAGUCGAACGCUGAAGCUCAGCUUUUGUUGGGUGGAUGAGUGGCGAACGGGUGAGUAACACGUGAGUAACCUGCCCCCUUCUUUGGGAUAACGCCCGGAAACGGGUGCUAAUACUGGAUAUUCACUGGUCUUCGCAUGGGGGUUGAUGGAAAGGGUUUUUCUGGUGGGGGAUGGGCUCGCGGCCUAUCAGCUUGUUGGUGGGGUGAUGGCCUACCAAGGCUUUGACGGGUAGCCGGCCUGAGAGGGUGACCGGUCACAUUGGGACGGAGAUACGGCCCAGACUACUACGGGAGGCAGCAGUGGGGAAUAUUGCACAAUGGGCGCAAGCCUGAUGCAGCGACGCCGCGUGAGGGAUGGAGGCCUUCGGGUUGUGAACCUCUUUCGCUCAUGGUCAAGCCGCAACAAUGGUUGUGGUGAGGGUAGUGGGUAAAGAAGCGCCGGCUAACUACGUG
rnacentral:rRNA from 1 species